GGGAGCCGGAUGAUCGAGAGUAUCACGUCCGGUUCUGAGAGAGCGUGGGGGUGAAACUCCCCUGCGCCACUCGCU
rnacentral:ncRNA from 1 species